rnacentral:rRNA from 1 species
UUAUGACCUGGGCUACACACGUGCUACAAUGGUUGGUACAACGAGUUGCGAGUCCGGUGACGGCGAGCUAAUCUCUUAAAGCCAAUACUCAGUUCGGAUUGUAGGCUGCAACUCGCCUACAUGAAGUCGGAAUCGCUAGUAAUCGCGGAUCAGCACGCCGCGGUGAAUACGUUCCCGGGCCUU